UAACUUCCAGAGAACAAGGGAAAUACAUUAGGGAAAUACUAAUGCAAUAUCUGAACAAUGCAUUCAUAAGCAUUUCUCAACUACUGGGUUGAAGCAGAUUUUCCAGAGCCCAGCACAAAUCCAGGGGAUUAUUCUACCUGGAAGAUAGAUUCUGUACUAAUAACUAGCCCAGCUCAAUUCGCAGUUCAAGCUUUUGAGGUGCCCUUCGCUGUCGAACAGGAUAUCUCCGCUCCUCCUGGGCUUCCGGUGGUGGGCCAGGUUCGGGUGUAAGGGCGUUGGACCAUAGCAGAUGAUCCACAUGAACGUUGACAUGGCGAUGAUCAACUUGGACUUGGCGAUGCCGCCCCACCCUUCCCUGACUCCUAACCCCUCGUGAGCUGAGAGGAGGAACACCCCAGACCUCCUGACAACUCCGAUGGUGGAGGUCGGGUCACUUGGAGGUCAUCAUGGGGACCUUUGCAGAGACGUCGGGGGUGCAGCCCAUGCUUUGGGAGCCGUCAUGCAUCACCACACAUCUGUCCCCUGGGCUGCAGCGUAAACAGCUGAUGUGGAAAAAUGCUUUCAAACACAUCAUUAGCUAACAGGAGAUAAAUGAGCAUGUGAACUUACAUGACACGUACAAAUCAUCUCUCCUCCUACAAUGAGUAUUGUUGGCCAUGUCUUAACUAUAGACUCUUAGAAUAAAAGGUGCUAUCUAGGACCUAAAAUGGUUCUUCAGCUGUUGCCAUAGGAUAACCCUUUUGGUUCCAGGUAGAACCAAUGGAACCCAAAAGGGUCCUUCUAUGGGGACAGCCAAAGAACCCUUUCGGAACACUUUUUUCUAAGAGUUCACAUUCCUUGCUUCCUUCCUUUGUCUCAUUUCCCUCUUGACCACUAAUAGGUACAAUGAAAGUAGUGUGUCUAGUAGUCAUCAUUAUUUUAACCAAAGGGGCAGGUGGGACUUGAUGCCUUUACAUCAUGGUACUCUCACAUUUUCAGAAACUCAUGUCAGAUUAGAAGUCAUGAAAUGGGAUCAGAACAACAAUUGAUCGAUAUUGUAAGUGUACAAUAAGUGUUGAUAGGUAGGGGUGGAGCCAGUGCGUAAGAUCUUCGCCACCGACAUCUACAUUGAUGAGAUCAACCACCAGAUCCGCAGGAAGGCCUCACGUGUGGACGUUGGUAAUAGCUGUAUCGCCUUAGAAUGUGCCCCUUUCCGGCAUAGCUCAUGGGCCUGUGGUUGCCAGGGUGAUCAGCGCAACCAAGCCUCAGUAUGACAUCUGGGGACAACGGUGAACCUGGCGAGCGGCAUGGACAGCACAGGCAUGAGCGGCUGCAUCCAGGUGCCUGAGGCCACACAAGGGAUCCUGGCUACCUGGGGCUUCGUCCUGGAGCUGAGGGGACAGAUCUACAUUGAGGGGGUGUAGCUCUGUCCCCACCCUAUACCCCACAUUGUGCACUACUAUUGUCCAGAGCCAUAUGAGGAUAUAGUAUAUAGUACUGUACACUUUAAGAGGAAUUCAGCAAAUUAAGGUAUUGCUUUCUAUUCCUUUUAUUUGUGUUAUUGUAAGUGAGUGAGCAGCAGGGGAAAGUCCAGACUUACUUCAUCUACAGCAGUCACACCCAAAGGGUCAGUAACGGGACUGGGGGGGACGGUCAGGGGGGCAAUCGGAGGGCAGGAGCACCCUGGCAGUGGUGGUGUUUGGCCUGGUACAGUCCAGGAAGAAGGAGAAGCAGAGAGUCCAACAGAGUGUUGUUCAGCUUAGCCCCUAACAGCGGACAGUGCUAGCAGAGGAUUCUAGAGAGACCACCAAAGGCACUUCCUGUUUAGGGGGUCAUGACUUCCUAUGUUGUGAGUCGUCCAGCCCUGGCUCUAAACACCACUGUGGUGGAUUAGCUGGUUGAUCCUCAGAGAGAGAGAGAAGAUAUACUGUAUGAGAUACUGUAUGUAGUGAUUCUCGUGAGAGAAAACUGUACAGAACAUGGGACCAAGUACCCCAAGGGAUUAAAGUAUUUUGUUGGGUCGGUUCAAGGGACACAUUGGGUGUCAUAUUAAACAUUAUUCAGAGGACUUUCUCUUUGGCCCACAAGACUCCAUCUUGUUUUGAACAGGAGGAUCCACUGUCAGUCUUAGUUUUACUGAGUUUUAACAAUCACCGUUAGGAUGAUAAUAGAUUUUUUUUGCCAUAUCUACAUAUGCAGUACAUAUUUGUUAAAUGUGUUUUCAUGUGUAUUUCUUACCUGACUGAGGCCAACACAGUGCACUACUCUUAUAGACAUCACAUCGGUGCAAGACAAUUUGAUUACUAUAAGAAUUCACUGUAAGAGGAGUGCAUUGUAUUUACUUACUGAUGUCAAAAACCCUGCAGUUUACAUGUUCAAUUAGAGUCCAGACCUCUAAGCCUUGAUAAUAAAUGCCUCACUUCAUCACUUCAUCACUGUACCAAGACUAACUGUGCAACCUAUUUUGUAUCAUAGACUUUCAUUCGCUGGAUUAAUUUAGUGUAAAUCAGUGCAUUCAUUUUUGUAAAUGAUAUACAAUUUUGUAAUGUUUUUAUUACGAUGUAUAAUAUCAUUGUUAAUCGAGAGAACACAUUGUUUAAAUACAUUGUUUGAUCUGUGUAGUGAUAAUAAUAAGUGUAUUUUGCUACACAUUGUGGUGAAGAGUAAUUCCACGAUAACAGAGUGAUGCUGAGACUCCGAUUUGUCCCUUUAAAAUGUAUGUCAAAUAAAAAUCAAUGAUUGCAAAGUUAAACAAACCAUACAACUCUAUGCAAAAGGACUACUUUUAAAAAUUUCCACUGACAUUUUUACAAAAAUAAAUUUACCUGAAGAACGGUGCAGAUGCAAAGUUUAGUAACAGAAUGCUGGUUUGUACUGUUGGUAUCGUCAUUCUGUUACCACAUUUUCAGUGGAAAUUGUUAAAAGUCUCACUUGUGCAUAGAGUUGUAUGGUUUGUUUUUGUUUGGGAUACAUUUUAAAGUGAAACAUCUGAGUCUCAACAUCACUCUAUUAGUGUGUAAUUGCCCUGAAGCUGAUUUUAUUUGGUUCUGUCAAUGAGUGUUACCUCAUUGGGCUUCCUUUACCUCUGUCGUGACUUGACUAUCAUUAAUGUGAUGGCUGCUAUUUAUUAAAUAAUGACCUACUACGUUUAA